GACGAACGCUGGCGGCGUGCCUAAUACAUGCAAGUAGAACGCUGAAGGAGGAGCUUGCUCUUCUGGAUGAGUUGCGAACGGGUGAGUAACGCGUAGGUAACCUGCCUGGUAGCGGGGGAUAACUAUUGGAAACGAUAGCUAAUACCGCAUAACAGUAGAUGUUGCAUGACAUUUGCUUAAAAGGUGCAAUUGCACCACUACCAGAUGGACCUGCGUUGUAUUAGCUAGUUGGUGGGGUAACGGCUCACCAAGGCGACGAUACAUAGCCGACCUGAGAGGGUGAUCGGCCACACUGGGACUGAGACACGGCCCAGACUCCUACGGGAGGCAGCAGUAGGGAAUCUUCGGCAAUGGACGGAAGUCUGACCGAGCAACGCCGCGUGAGUGAAGAAGGUUGUCGGAUCGUAAAGCUCUGUUGUAAGAGAAGAACGAGUGUGAGAGUGGAAAGUUCACACUGUGACGGUAUCUUACCAGAAAGGGACGGCUAACUACGUG
rnacentral:rRNA from 1 species